rnacentral:rRNA from 2 species
AAAUUGAAGAGUUUGAUCAUGGCUCAGAUUGAACGCUGGCGGCAGGCCUAACACAUGCAAGUCGAACGGUAACAGGAAGCAGCUUGCUGCUUCGCUGACGAGUGGCGGACGGGUGAGUAAUGUCUGGGAAACUGCCUGAUGGAGGGGGAUAACUACUGGAAACGGUGGCUAAUACCGCAUAACGUCGCAAGACCAAAGAGGGGGACCUUCGGGCCUCUUGCCAUCAGAUGUGCCCAGAUGGGAUUAGCUUGUUGGUGAGGUAACGGCUCACCAAGGCGACGAUCCCUAGCUGGUCUGAGAGGAUGACCAGCCACACUGGAACUGAGACACGGUCCAGACUCCUACGGGAGGCAGCAGUGGGGAAUAUUGCACAAUGGGCGCAAGCCUGAUGCAGCCAUGCCGCGUGUAUGAAGAAGGCCUUCGGGUUGUAAAGUACUUUCAGCGGGGAGGAAGGUGUUGCGGUUAAUAACCGCAGCAAUUGACGUUACCCGCAGAAGAAGCACCGGCUAACUCCGUGCCAGCAGCCGCGGUAAUACGGAGGGUGCAAGCGUUAAUCGGAAUUACUGGGCGUAAAGCGCACGCAGGCGGUCUGUCA